UCCCAAACCUGUAAGAACUAAUGAUAAUUCCACCACCCUUUGCUGACUCUCUUUUCGGACUCAGCCCGCCUGCACCCAGGUGAAAUAAACAGCCUUGUUGCUCACACAAAGCCUGUUUGGUGGCCUCUUCACACAGACAUGUGUGACAUUUGGUGCCAAAGACCCAGGACAGGAGGACUCCUUCGGGAGAACGGUCCCCUGUCCUCGCCCUUACUCUGUGAGGAGAUCCACCUAUGACCUCGGGUCCUCAGACCAACCAGCCCAAGGAACAUCUCACCAAUUUCAAAUCAGAUUGGCUCUCCACUCAACCCCUAGAAGCUGAGCCUUUGAGACAGCAUCAGCAAGCUCCUUCCUCCUCUGGCUUCCCCUGGCACCAGCAGGAGGUGACAGGCCGCAGAUUGCACUGCCCAAGAAGGAGCCGGCUUGAAGAGCAAGCAAGUUGGGCACCUGAGAUGAGAUCCAGCACUAGGCGUAGAAAAUGAACUCUGCUUGUGCCCCAUGCCCUAGACCAUGGCAUGGCCAGGGUCUGUCCCCAUGUCUGUGUUUCCUAAAGUUGGUGUGCACCCUCCUCAUUAUUCAGCUGUCAUUGCAUUUGCCUGGGAAGACUUCACUUGCAGAGCCCAGAGCAGCCAGCUUAAUAGCUCCUGUGGUGGUUUUUAAAAUAUGUCCACAUGUCCUUGGAGAUGCUUUACAUCAAUUAGUGGAGUCUAAGGCCAGGCGCUGUGGCUCACAUCUGAAAUCCCAGCACUUUGGGAGGCUGAGGUGGGCGGAUCACCUGAGGUUAGGAGUUCGAGACCAACCUGGCCAACAUGGUAAAACCCUGUCUCUACUAAAAAUACAAAAAUUAGCCAGGUGUGGUGGUGGGUGCCUGUAAUCCCAGCUACUCGGGUGGCCAAGGCAGGAGAAUUGCUUGAACCUGGGAGGCAGAGGUUGCAGUGAGCUCAGAUCGUGCCAUUGCAUUCCAGCCUGGGUGACAAGAGUGAAACUCCAUCUCAAAAAAAAGAAAAAGAAAAAAAGAAUGGAGUCCAAUUUCCCUUCCCUUGAAUAUGGGCUGCUUCUAGUAAUUAGCUUUUAAUAAAUGGGAUACAGAGGAACUGACGCAACAUGACUUCUGAGGCCAGGUUAUAAGAGCAGAUCAGCUGCCACCCAGGCUUUCUCUCCUUGGGACACUCAUACAUAGAUCCAGGUGCUGUGAUGCAAGGAAACCUAGGCCACACAGAGAGAGGCAUAUAUAGGUGAUCUAGCUGAAACCCCAGCUGUGAGGAAGCCUGCAGGCCCCAACCGUGGCUUGACUACAACUGCCUGAAAGAUCCCAGCAAGAAUUGCCUCGCUGAGUCCAGUCAACUGCAGGAACAGAGUGAGCUGACAUGCUGGACAGCUCCAGAUGGCAAGAAAUUGAGGUUGAUCCCUGCCAACAGUUUGUAAGAAACUGAAUCCCGUCAACAAGCAGACUUGAAAUAAUCUCAGAUUCCCCCCGCCUCCCAACCAAGAAGCAUCUGAGAGCUGGACACAGUGGCUCAAGCCUGUAAUCCCAGCACUUUGGGAGGCCGCAGCGGGAGGAUCACCUGAGGUCAGAAGUUCAAGACCAGCCUGGCCAACAUGGUGAAACCCUGCCUCUACCAAAAAUACAAAAAUUAGCUGGACAUGGUGGCACGUUCCUGUAGUCCCAGCUACUCGGGAGUCUGAGGCAGGAUAAUCACUUGAACACGGGAGAUGCAGGUUGCAGUGAAAUGAGAUCAUGCCAUUGCACUGCAGCCUGGAUGACAAGAGUGAAACUCCAUAUCAAAAUAAAUAAAUAAAUAAUUGUCAAUAUA
rnacentral:lncRNA from 1 species